rnacentral:rRNA from 1 species
CAGUCGCCGCGGUAAUACGUAGGGUGCGAGCGUUAAUCGGAUUUACUGGGCGUAAAGCGUGCGCAGGCGGCCCGUUAAGACAGGUGUGAAAUCCCUGGGCUUAACCUGAGAAUUGCUUUUAAGACUGUCGAGCUAGAAUCCAGAAGAGGGUAGUGGAAUUCCGAGUGUAGAGGUGAAAUUCGUAGAUAUUCGGAAGAACACCAGUGGCGGAGGCGACUACCUGGUCUGGCAUUGACGCUCAUGUGCGAAAGCGUGGGGAGCAAACAGGAUUAGAUACCCGCGUAGUCCCUGUCUCUUAUAC